GGGCGUGGCCACCGGCGCCCCACCCCUUUCCCUCAGACCCGGAGCCCUACCCGGAGGAACUGCCGCUCCAGCCCCUCCUCCCCCAGCCUUCGGUCCGUGGCCCCUGGGACCGCUCCGGCUCCAACAGGCAGAGUCCUGUCAAACGUAGACACACGCCCCGCGAGAGCUGGAAAUCUCAAGCGUGCAGACGCUCAGCGAGAGGCAGGCUGAGUAAAACCUGGAGGGCCCGCCGGUAACUAACGGUCGUGCAGUCUCCUUGGUUUCUCAACAGGCAGAAUUUCGACCAGAGGAUCCACAGCCUGGCCGAACCUCCUCAGGGAUGACAGGGGCAGCUUCGUCGUCUGCUUCCGUGACUGGUUUUGCUCGCAAGGCCAGGCCCCCCGGCCACCAGGCCCGUUUAGGAGCUCACUUUGGGUCCAGGUCAAGAUUCUCCGGGUGGCUCAGUGGUCAAGAACCGCCUGCUAACGCGGGAGAUGCGGGAGAUGCGGGUUCCGUCCCUGGGCCCGGAGGAUGCCCCGGAGGAGGAGAUGGCAACCCACUCCAGUAUUUUUGCCUGGAAAAUUCCAUGGACAGAGGAUCCUGGUGGACUGCAGUCCAUGGGGCCACAGAAGAGUCGGACAGGACUGAACACAAGCUUCUUACCGGGAUCUGGGUUCUCCUGCCUCCAGGGCUGAAGACCUGGCUUUGGGGGUAGACUAAACUGAAUCAGAACCUGGACAACUUACUCAACCCCUCUGUGAUUCCUGUCUACAGAUGGAUGUGUGCUAUUGUCUGUCUAGUUCAUAGGUUGAUGUGAGACCUGAGUGAGGCGUGUAAUGUACUUAGCAUGUGGCCUGUCACAGAGCAAAGCUCUCAACAGGCGUCAGCUGCUGCAGUGACUCAGCAGACAGUACUGAUGCUCGGUUAGGGAUUGCAGCUGAGCUCUGCUGGCAGGAGAAGCCUGGGGCAGGAGGAGUCAGACACAGAUGCUGAGAGCCUGGAGCGCACAUUGGCCAGGAUGGCCGUCCUCUCUAAUACGCAGUUCCCAAAUGGAAUGGCAUUUGCCCUGGAUUUCUCCUGAGGCUUGAUUCCUUGGCUUGUAGAUGCCCAUCUUCUCACUGUAUCUUCACAUGGUCUUUCCUCUGUGUGGGUCUGAGUUGGCAUCCUUUCUCUGUUUGGUCAGACAGUAAAUAUUUUGGUGGCAUACAGUCUGUGUAGCAACUCUUCUAGUUUGCUGCUGUAGCAUGAAAGCAGCCACAGAUAAUACAUAAAUGAAUGAAAGUAACUACUUUCUAGUGAAAUUUUAUUUACAAAAACAGAUAGUGGAUCCUCAUCCAGCAUUACCAGAACCCCUCAGAUGAACUGAUACUCAACCCCUUCCAGACCCCACAGAAAAGCAGUCAGAGGCCUGUUCUAGUGGAGGGGGGCGGGGUGGCAGCCAGACUCUCCAGUUUGGAGCUGGACACAGAGAGACACUCCCAAGUGACCCAAAGGACACCAGCUCAGGUGAUGAGCACCGACCUCUAGGCUCCCCACGAGAUAAGUCACCCAAUUCCUGCCCACCCCCCACCAUCCAGCCCCUCAGAAUGGCCUUCACUAGACUGGACAAUGGGUGGUGAAGCUCCAGGCUCAGAAGAGCUCCCUAACUCCAUCCUCCUGAGAUGAGCUCCCUUCUCCGUCAAAGUCCUCAUACCUUCAGUGACUCUGAAGGACACUGAUUGUCUCUGUGUCCCAUUGAUUUUCCUCUUAUGUGACUCUGCUGGGCUUCUCCUUUGAGCAAAGUGACUGGUGGGAGAAGCUUCUAUAGUUGGUAAGACUUGGCUAUCAGCCUCAAAUGACGUGGGGGUGACUGCUGGUUUUGCGGUCCUUUAGGAAUUUGUAUUAAUGGUAUCAUACAGUAUGUGGUCUUUUGUAUCUAACUUCUGUUUUGCAUUGUGUUUGUGAGAUUUAUCUGUAUUGUUGUGAUCAUAGUUUAUUCAUUUUCAUUGCUGAUUAGUGUUCCGUUGUAUGAUUAGAUCAAAUUUAUCAAUAAAUACCUGUUCUACUACUGAUGUUCAUUUGGGUGGCCUCCAGUUUGGGGCCGUUACAAAUGAUGCUCCUAUGUACAUUGUCCUCCAUGUCUUCUGGGGCACAGGCACUUGGAUUUCUGUUGAGUGUGUACCUAGGAAUGGAAUUGCCCCAUCGGUAGGUGCACGGUGUUAGAUGCAGUGGAUUCUGCAAACAGUUUUCUAAAGCAGUUGUGGUGGUUUGCCCUUCCACUAGUAGAGACGAGAAUUCUUGCUACUCUACAUCGGAGGCUGAGAAACACUUUGUCUAAAGGGCCAGACAGUAAAUGUUCUAGAUUUUGAGUAUCCGUCACUGCUAUUCAACUUGGCUUUGCAGCAGUGUGUAGAAAAGUGAUUAUGUAGAAAACAGUGUGUAGAAAAGUGAUUAUGGCCGUGCUCCGAUACAGCUGUAUUGGUGAAGCAGUCCAUGGGCUGUGUUUGGUCCACAAACAAAGGGUUGGCUGUAGUUUACCAACCCUUGUUCUACAUUCUUUCCAACGUGAGGUACUUCUUAACUUCAGGCAUUUUGAUGUUUAUUUGCAGUUCUUCGAGGAAAAGUGAGAGGACCUCCUUGUGAAACCCUUCCUCAUUUGCAGGGUUCCUUGUUGAGGCUUUCAGCUCAUGGGGUUGCCUGUCUUUUUCUCAUUGAUUUCUACUAGUUCUUUAUAUAUUUCUGGGUGGAUAUUCUUCAUCUGUUACAGGUUAACAAUAUUCCCACUGUGUAGCUUGCCUUUUCUCCUUAUGAUGCUUCUUCAUAUGCUGUUAAAUUUGGCCAAUAUUGAAGACAUCCUUCCUUAUAUUUUCAUUGUUUUUUUGUUUCUUCUAUUUUUACUAAAUUCUUAUGAUGGAUGCUUACCUUUUAAAUUUUUAGUCUUGUUUAUUUUAUUUAUUAGUCUCAUGUAUUUUCACUUAAGACUGUAAAUUUCCUUCUGGAACAGGAUUAACUGCAUGACCCAAGUUUUCCUAUUAGUAAUUCCAUUAUGAUUCAGCUCUAAAUAUAUUAGCUUCCAUAAUGAUUUUUCUUUAGCUUAUGAAUUAUUUAGAAAUAUGUGUUUAUUUUAAAAAUACGGGUUUAAAAACCUUUCUUUUGGUCAUUAAUUUAGAAACCAGAUGGGUUAGAAGCUAAUUGUGUUGCCAGAGACCUUGGAGUGUCUUUUCAGUUCUUUGGGACUUGCUGAGCUGCUGCCUGGUCAGUUUUAAUGCAUGUUUCUAGUUUUUGUGUUGAAUGUGUAGUUCUUGGUAUUGUGGCUUAGUUGAUUGUCUCCCAUAUCUUGAAACCCUGGGUGAUCCUGUCCUUUGCUCAUUGCUUGCACCCCACUCCACCUACUAUCACAGACAUUGAAUUUCCUCAGGGCGAAACCAGCUUAAGUCGUUUACCUAUCUGGAGUCCCAUUUUUGUUUAAUUAUUUGGUCUCUGAGAAUUUCAUGUAUUGUUUUCAUCCCAGUAAUCACCAGCUCAAUGGACAUGAGUUUGAGCAAGCUCCGGGAGUUGGUGAUGGACAGGGAGGUCUGUUGUGCUGCAGUCUGUGGGGUCACAAAGAGUCAGACGCGACUGAGCGACUGAACUGGACUGAAUACACAGAGCAGCAACUUUUAGAUAACUAGAAAAGCUGAACAAAAUACACAUAGCAGCUGACCGAAAGCAACAGCAAGAUAUCAAGAUGUAUGGCUCACUGGUAAAGAAUCUGCCUGCCAGUGCAGGAGAUGCAGAUUUGAU